GACUGAAGGGAGUGAGCCAGUGGCCGACCCCACGUGACGUGUCUUCCUUCCAUUGGCUUCAGCAGACGAGGUUCAACGGUCGGUUCGGCUCGCGCCAAGGAGCCCGGUCCCUCCCGGCUCUCACCAAGACUCGAGACCCACGCGGCCCGCAGGACACGGGCUGUCUGACCCUCGCUACGUCCUUCUCCACACAGAGGGCUUUCUUCCCCCGGACUCUCACCCACCAGGCCAGAAAAGCAUCCAAUAGAGCUCAAAGGGGAAGAGAAUCAACUGAAAUUAUGUCUCGAGUACCUCCCAGCGGCAGAAAGGUUAAUUUUAAACCUCCCUUCCCGACUGCCUGGACGGACCUGGAGGACAUCACGCUGAGUGCAAUAAGCCAGACACGAGAGGACCAGUGCCUGUGAUGCCACCUGUGGAAGGUCCCUGGAGCCGUCACAGUCAGAGGGACGGAGAGCGGAUGGUGGUGCUGGGGCGGGGGCAGUCGGUAUUCAAGGGGACAGAGUUUCAGUCUGGGAAGAUGAAGGAGUUCAGAGGUCAUGGCAGUGGUUGCACAACAGAAUGCACUUGACGCCAUUGAACUGUGCACUUAAAAUGGUUACGAUGGUAAAUUUUGUGUUACAUAUAUUUUACUGAAAUUUAAAAAGGAGGGAGAGGUCACGACGUGGCCCUGGCGCUCACGGACGGGAAUGGAGAAGGGACAGGAGGAGGGGGGGGAGGCCACCUCUCCUGCAUUCGAGUUUGGGAGCCGCUGAGAGCCUGCAGCGCCCGCGUGUGGGAGGAGGGGCUGGGCCGGCAGGCUGGAGGUGGUUGUGGUGAAAUGUCAAGGAGCCUCUAAAAGUAAACACGUUCCCGAGCUUCAGCUGCUCCAGGCCACUUGCUUAAUUUUUCUUUCUCCAAGCAGUGUCUCCAAACACACUGUGGGGAUAGAACGUGGUUAUUUUUUAUUGAUUCAGUUCCUUUGGGUCACUGGGAACAAUUUGCUUGACUCUCUACUUGCAGGAACGGGAAGUGCACGAAAUUAGCUUUAAGCUUCUUUGUUCCUGAGGCCCUUUGCACGCCGUCAGCCUGCGCAAAACCCUCCGAGGGAUCCGGAAAAACCUUUAGGACGCUUUUAAGAGAAGUUCAGAAACAAGAAAGAAAGCUUCUCACCCCGUCUGGUUGACUUUGACGGCACAUUUGUGCCAAAGAUUACGCAGACGAUACUAUUUCGCUUCCUGAGAAGCAGCUCAACAGAGAAGAAAGAAACACGCGCCGG
rnacentral:lncRNA from 1 species